CUUCCCAUCCCGCCUGGGGACCGAGCCGCCAGCCGCAGACAUGACCCCCAGCCUGGCCAUCGCCUUCCUCCCGCUGCUCCCCGCGGGUGUCUAUUCCCAGGUCAGCCUGGUGGAGUCCGGAGGGGGAGUCAGGAAGCCCGGGGAGACCCUCAGACUGACCUGCACCGUGUCCGGAUUCUCUCUCACCAGCUACGACGUGCACUGGGCCCGCCAGCCGGCGGGAAAAGGGUUAGAUUGGAUGGGAGUUAUCUGGGGUGAUGGGGGCACUGCUUAUAGCAAUGCUCUCAAAAGUAGACUCCCCAUCACCAGAGACACCUCCAAAGGCCAAGUGUCCCUCCAACUGACCGGCCUGCAGCCCGGAGACACCUCCAUGUACGACUGUGCCAGAGACACACACUAUGAGGAAAAUCCUAUUAAAACCUGCACUAAAACUAACCUUGCGGAGAACCAGUGCGCAACUCAGGUUGACUCACUGAAGGGAGCCCAUGGCGUGAAGCAGGGGGGCUGA